AUUGAACGCUGGCGGCAUGCCUUACACAUGCAAGUCGAACGGUAACAGGUCUUCGGACGCUGACGAGUGGCGAACGGGUGAGUAAUACAUCGGAACGUGCCCAGUCGUGGGGGAUAACUACUCGAAAGAGUAGCUAAUACCGCAUACGAUCUGAGGAUGAAAGCGGGGGACCUUCGGGCCUCGCGCGAUUGGAGCGGCCGAUGGCAGAUUAGGUAGUUGGUGGGAUAAAAGCUUACCAAGCCGACGAUCUGUAGCUGGUCUGAGAGGACGACCAGCCACAAUGGGACUGAGACACGGCCCAGACUCCGACGGGAGGCAGCAGUGGGGAAUUUUGGACAAUGGGCGAAAGCCUGAUCCAGCAAUGCCGCGUGCAGGAUGAAGGCCUUCGGGUUGUAAACUGCUUUUGUACGGAACGAAAAAGUCUCCUCUAAUACAGGAGGCCCAUGACGGUACCGUAAGAGUAAGCACCGGCUAACUACGUGCCAGCCGCCGCCGUAA
rnacentral:rRNA from 1 species